rnacentral:lncRNA from 1 species
CUCCCCAAGGUAUUCUUGGCAUGAAACACAUUUGCGUUGUAGGGCAUCUGCUUCCUUCUUCAUUUCAGGCAAUUAAUACCCUUGUCGUUGCAGCCUAUGCUACAGGCCUAUGUCUGCCAAUCCGCAGUUCUCAUCAUGCACCUGAUGCAAGACUCUAUUUGCUUCCCGCCUCCCCAAGCAUCGUGUCAAUAUACCGUCUACUUCUUUGUGAUACAAGACACCUUUGAUGAUGUUGUACUUCUGUAGCUCCAUGAUUGGUAUUGUUCCCUCCUUUGUUUGCAAUUGAUGGGAGAUGUCAUGUCUCCAAUCAUCUAUUAUGUCUUUGGGGAACAAGUCAAGCACCGUGGUUGGGAGGGUUCUCUUCAUUACCUUCACAUCCAAGUCCUCUCCUUGGACAUAGACUCGAGACGCUACUGUUGUUAGUACAUCAGGUUGUUUAUUUUGUCCUCUUGGCACAUAUUCAAUCACCACCUUCUUGAAAGCCUCCAUCUCCUUUUGUGCUACAGUUCGAUAUGGAGCCAAGAUAGGUUCCUUCACUCUGAAUUGGCCUCUUAUCUGCCGGACUAUGAAGUUUGAAUCUCCCUUUACUUUAAGAUGUUUGGCUCCCAAUUCUUGAGCCGCCAACAAUCCUAGUAUGAACGCCUCAUAUUUUACUUUAUUGUUUGUGCAAGGGAAAUUCAAUAUGUAUGACAAGGCCACUUCAUUUCCUUCUUUGGUGGUCAACACCACUCCUGCUCCGCCUUUACCUUUUCCAGAUGAUCCAUCAAAAGCCAAACUCCACCAUUCUAGGUCAUCAUCCAUUAACUCGAUUGAUUCUACUACUCCACCCUGAAGAUCUUCAGAAGGGGGUUUAUAUUCUCCAUUUGGAAAUUGAACCAGCAGGUCUGCCAAGGCUUGAUAUCGGAUCGCCUUCGGUGUUACACACUUGAUGUCGUACUCUGAAAGAAUCAUCAUCCAUCUGGCAGGUCUUCCUGCAAAUGCUGGCUUAGUUAAUAAUAAUCUGAUGGGAUCAGUUCUUGUUCCAAGCUUUACUUUGUGCGCUAAAAAAUAAUUAAUGCUGCAUUUUUUGCGCAAUGAACACCAAUGCUAGGCAAUGCCUCUCCACCUGUGAAUACCUGAUUUUCGGUCCUCUGAUUAUCCGGCUAAUAUAAUACAUAGGUUUCUCUUCUCCAUCCACCUCCUGCAUGAUCAAUGUUCCACAUGUGGAAUUCUUGGUAGAUGUGAUGUAUAACUGCAACGUCGUUCAUUUUUGUGGUACUACCAUAGUUUGCGUUGAAGCCAAAAUUCUUUUCACCUUUUCAAAGGCCUGUUGUUGGUCUUGCCCCCAGUCCCAUUGUGCCUUUCCUUUUAGCAAUUUGCCGAAAGGUUCUGUGACUUCGGCUAAUGCUGGCAUGAAUCUUCUCAUGUAUGAAACUUUCCCUAGAAAGCUCUUCAACUGUUUCUGCAUUUUUUGUGGGGGGGGGUGGAUCUCUGUGAUUGCUUUCGCCUUGCUUGGGUCCACCUCUAAACCUCUGUUGUGCACCAAGAAACCCAAGAAUUUUCCAGCCGUCAUCCCAAAGGCACACUUCUUUGGAUUCAUCCUCAACUUGUACCUUCGGCAUCACUCAAACACUUUCCUCAGGUCUUCUACAUGAGUUGUUGCCUUCUUGGAUUUCACUACUAUGUCAUCCACGUAGUCCUCCACUAUAUCAUGAAUCAUGUGAUGAAAUAUGGCGUGCAUUGCCCUUUGAUAAGGUUGCCACCGCAUUCUUCAACCCGAAUGGCAUUACUACAUAGUAGAAAUUCCCAAAUGGGGUACGAAAGGUUGUCAACUCUGCAUCUUCUACGGACAUAUUUAUCUGAUUGUAACCCACAAACCCGUCCAUGAAUGACAUCAUCUCAUGAUUAGCCGUUGCAUCUACCAAAGUGUCUAUGUUAGGUAAUGGGUACAUAUCCUUCGGGCAUGCCUUGUUCAAGUCUCUGAAAUCCACACAUAUUCGUAGUUGUCCAUUUGAUUUCUUUACCGGUACAAUGCUGGAUAGCCAUGUUGGAUGUUGAAUUAGCUUGAUGAACCCUACUUCCAGUAACUUCUUGAUCUCUUCCAUUAUUUGAGUUUCGACUUCAGGUGCAUAGUUGCGAGGUGCUUGCUUCACUGGCUUCAUUCCCGGGCUUAUGUUUAGAUUGUGAUCCACAAGAUCCUUGUCAAUUCUGGGCAUCUCGUCAUAAUUCUAAGCAAAGACAUCUCUAUACUCUCGCAAUAAUUAUACAAGCUCCUCCUUCUGGUUAGCAUCCAGUUCCUUGUUGACAUAAGUCGGUCUUGGCAUUCCUCCCUUUGUUGCCAAAUCAACUUCCUCUAAUUCAUUUUGUUGAGGUUUUGGCCUAUCCUCGAAGCAUUCUGGAGCUGGUUCUACCUUCUGCUGUACAACUUCUCCUCAUUCAUUAUUGCUGGAGUGGGGGACACCUCCAGAGCCAUUGGGUUCGUACGCUUCCUUGGGCUCUUCCCCCUUGCACCGUCAUAAUUGAAACACCACCUUUCCGUCAGGUUUAACAACCCUAUCCCAUUUUGUCUUCUGGCCAUCCUCAGAUUGUGCCAUCCGCUUAACAUUUAUUAUAUUUCUGGCAUCUUCAGGGUCUGCUGGCCUUUUUUUUUCUUCUCUUCCUUCUUUCUCCAGGUCUACUACCACUAGCUUCUUAUUUUUGGAACAUUCUCCGUGUUCCGAGGUCUUCUUAUUCUCUUUUUCUGCAGGCACGAACCUAUCUUCCUGCACUUCCUCCCAGCUUGCUAGUCUCAGAGAAUCGGGACUUGCAAUUUGGUUCUCUCCCUCUUCAGCGACAUCAUCAAAGAAAGUUGCUUCGGUGAUGUGUGCCUCCUCUGGUCCAAAGGGAUUUUGAGUUGCUGGUACCUUCACUUCUCUCCCUUUUUAGAUAGCUUUCAGGCACUGAUGAAAGACCGAGGGUUCCAUCCCGUAGUCAUUUUGCCAAGCCCUUCCUAGCAAGAUAUGAUAUGUUGCAUCCACCUCUACAACAUGGAACAUUACAGGCCCUCGAAUCUUCCCAACUUGCAUGUCCACCUUGAUAUGUCCUAGGGUUCUUGUGCUUUGGUUGGCGAAUCCUAUAAUGUUUGCUUGUUCCUUCAUAAUCUUCUUCUCAGGUAGGCCUAACCGUUUGAACACAGUGUAGGGCAUAAUAUUUACAAAUGCUCCAUUGUCAAUGAACGCCCUCCACACUUCUAUGCCAUUAAUUACUGCUGUCACAUACAAUGGCCUGUUGUGCGGGUAUCUUAUCUCUCUAUCAGCUGUAAAGAAAGAUAUCUUAUUUUUUUCUUCCUCCAUCGUCUUCACAAAUCCUUUGCUUAUGGCCAUGCAAGUCUCCUGUGUCUCGGCAGCCUUAAUGAUUUCUCUGGUUGCCUCAAUCCUUGCUUCCUUGGCCAAUCCUAUCUGAUCGAAUUUUUUUUAAACUUGGCCCCAUUCAUCAACACCGUCACCUGCAGGCCUGGAUCACACUCUUCUCUUUCUUCCAUCAUCAUCUCCACUUCUGGGAUUGUACUGUGGAUAACAGUGUUGCAUGUUUCUUUCCCCUUGUGGUUUGGCAGUGGCUUGUCAUGGACACUUCUUUCCUUUUCCAGUUCAAUUUCCCCAUUUGCCAAAUUUUCAUGGUAUAUCCUCCUUAGGCUGUAACAGUCCAUAGUGGAAUGUCCAGCGUAUUGGUGGCAUACACAGAAGUCAGGUUUUCUCUUCAUCUCUUUCGUCACUACAAAUCUAGGCCUUGGGGGUUUCACCACCCCAUGUUCAACCCAUUGUUCAUAUAGACCCCUGAAUGCUUUCUCAUUGCAUGUGAUAGCCUCCGGGAUUGACUUUCUUGCAUAUUUGUCUCCAGGCCUUCCCCUGCUUCGGUCAAAAUUCUUCUCAUGCUUCUCCCUCUUGCCCCCUUUUGGUUUUGACUGAGAGUCAGCCAAAGCCACAGUUGUUGUCCUCUUGCCCUUUCAUGUAAUCGUCGCAUGGCUAGUGGGUAAUGUCAUGAUUUCUCCCAAGUCUUGUGCAAAAGAUGAGAGGGUCACGAAGGAAUCACAAGCCUUGGUGAUGAGGUGGGGAUUGAAGGCAUCUAAGGCACCAUUGUUGCAAAUGCUGACUAAGUUCUUUUCUUCAAUCGGCUUUGCGCACUUCUGUGCCCGGGCCCUGAACCUGUCAACAUAAUCUGAUAGCUCCUCAUUCGGCUUUUGCUUGAACCUCAUGAGCUCUACAAUAGUCACUUAUUUUUGCACAUAAAAAAAUUUCUUAAAAAAUUGUACUUUUGGGUCAUCCCAAUCAUGGACUGAUCCCUUCUCCAAAUUGUAGUACCAACUGAAGGCACUAUCCGUCAAAGUCUUGUUGAAUUCCUGCAUCAACAAGUUGUGGUUGUUCACUUCAUCAUAUCCGAGCCACGGAGACAUUGACUCUACGAACCUGACAAUAUGUUCUCUGGCAUUUCCUUUCUCCCCGUUGUAUUUUGGAAACUGCGGAGGAUGCUCAAUAUACCCUGUCGGGUAAGGUUGCCUCCGAAUGUGUGUCGGGUAAGGAGUAGUAUAGUCUAACUCCGAGGGUCGAGAUGUCUGCCUGCGAAGUUGAUUGAUCACAUCGAUCAUAUCAUCUUUCGUCACGUACUGGCUCGUGGCGUGAAUUAACUCUUUGGGGUUUUGUGAUAUACUGUUGUAACAGCGAUGUGUAUGGUAAAGAGAUUGGUUGAUGCAUACUUGCAUCAUUCAAAGCAGGCGCUAGUGGUAGCUGCUGGCUCACUCGCUGGACAUGGCCUGGAAUGGUCGGCAUCUGCACGUGUGAAAAUGUUGGGAGAGCAGUUGGGAUGAUGUUUGUCUGAGGUUGGCUUGCUUCCAACCUAGGUUGUGUUACAUCACCACUGCUCUGAGGCUCCAAGUUGAUGAUUAGAACCGACUGACUUUCCGUCGAUGGAGGUACAAUUUGGUUCUCUUUAUUGUUGUUGCCAUUGUUAUUGUCCUCUACCCCUGCUUCUUCUCCCUACGAAUUGCCUGAGAACAUGGCCUUGAAGGUAAGAAUCUGCAUCAAUUGCUGGCGAAAGUUCCCCAUCUCCUCUUGCUUCCUCUGCAUCUCCAGCAUCAUGGCCAUCAUCAUCCCUGUUCUUCCCGUGCUUCCUUUAAUGCCUUGAGCAUCUCCAAUUGCACAACACUGAUCAACUCUCCACUUGCAUCCUCGCCUUGCCUUCCUGCAUUUAUUUGUUGUUGAUUGGCCAUAUGUGGUGAUAUUGAACUCCUUUCUGAAGCGUCUUCAAUAAGGGGUUGGUUAAAAUUCAAGUUUGCACCUUGGAAAGCUUGAGUGGCUUGCCUUGGAACUGGAUCCGGUGAGGUAAUGCUAUUUGUUGGUGAAACAACUCUUCCUGUAGUUCUCCCACUUCGAGUUGUGGGCAUACCCUUCACGAAUUCUACACCUCCCCAGCAGAGUCGCCAAAGAAAUGUGUGCAAAGAAAUCGUGCCUUGCUAGUUAGGGUUUCGUGUUGGCUGAGGAGGAGAGAAAUCCACGAAGAGUACGGAAUUGGUUGAUUGAUUGAAGAGGGGAGAAUGACAAGUGGGUGAUUACUCCAAUGACGCGUGACAGAACUCCUAGAAUCCGAGAACCGUAUUAGGGUUAUUGGGAUUCCAAGAGCCUUCUUGAGUGUCCUUCAAGUUGAGAGAAAGUGUCUAAACCCUUUUAGUACUUUUAGGUGGAAUAUCCAAGCCUUAAGUCACCAAAAGAGUUCAAGUCUUGUGUUUGAAGAGAGGUCCCUUUCUCAAUGGAAUGGAAGGGGUACUUAUAGGAUUUUCUGGAAAGUAGUCAUGUGCAAGGCACAUGAUUUAAGGGAAGUGGAGGUUUCUCCUGGGUCUAACGCAUUUUAUUUCUGACUUUUUUCGUCUUCAUUCCAUUAGGUUAUGCGAAUUCUAAUUUGCACAUUUAAUGAGGUUUUGAAACCCUAAUUGCUCAUUUAAUUUAAUUAGGUUAUGUGAACUCUAAUUUUACACUUGGGCCCACAAAAAUUUGUUAAGCAAAUUUGUUCGCUUUUGUAUUUUAUUUCAAAUUUUUAGAUAAGGCAGAAGGAUCAAAAGGGUCCAAAAGAUACAGAUAAAAGAAAAAGAAACAGAUGUUAGGAAGAAUGAAUAAUAUGUUGAUGUAAUAGAUUAUGAUGUUGUAUUAAUUUUUUGUAAUAAUAUAAGAUAAAUUGUGAUAUUAUCAAGUAUUAAAUUGCGUAAAGAGCCGAGAUGUGGAAAUAUGUAAUUUCAUUUACGUGAAAUCUGUUGCAAGUAAUCCUAAUUUAUAUUAUAGGCAAAUGUUGUAUAUGUGAGGUUAAAACCUGUAGAAGAAUGAAUGGAUGUUUCUAUUAUUAUUUUUUAUGAGACACAUGUGGAAUAAAUGAAGAAUGUAUACAAUAUUAAGCAGGUGAUAUAUGUAUAUGAAUAGUGAUGCACCAAAUCAACUGUAGAAAGUAUAGGGGUUUAGGAACAGAACCGGAUAAGGCAAUUCUACUCGAUCAAUUACGCCAAAUAUAUUCAUCAGUAUAUUAAUUAAAAUUAAAUAAAAUUAUUUUAAAUUUGAGUAAAAAAAUGUCUCAAUUUAAUUUAAAAAUUAAAUAAUGAUAUUAUAUUUUAAAAGUGAAUGAUAUAAUAUUUAAAAUUUUGAGUCAUUUUGGUUGUGGAAGGGAGGAAGGUAAUGUAAGUAAUCUAACUUAAGAGUAUCAUUAAGAUAUCUAAGCUGAAGUAUGCAUUCUUUUAGUUAUAUAUAUUAAAAAGAAAGUCACUAUAGGAGCAACUUUUGUUGCAGGAAACAAUACAUUAAGUAACAAUGUUCUUUUCUGUCAGUGGAGAAGUUAGGAUUUUAAUUUAUUAGGGUCAAAAUUUUGUGAUGUUAUAAAUGAUUUAAUUUUAUAUUUUUUUAUCAGUUUUAUAUAUAAAAUAUGUAUUUUGUUAUAAUUAAUAUUUUUAAUAUAAUAAAUAAUAACAUUAUAUAUAUAUACACCCCUUAUUGACCCUUAAUACGUCUUUCUAAUAAUAAAUUUAUUAAUAAAUAUUUAAAUUUCUUAUGUUAUAAAAAUAAUAUAAAUUAAAUUAAUAUUUAUUUUAAAAAUAUUAGAGGAAGAAGCAUACAUCAAGGAGUAGAAAUAGUAUAGAAUUGAGAAAGUUAUAAAAAAUUCUAUUUGACCCCGUAUAUUAAAAAAUUUAUAAAAUUUCAAUGAGGUCAAUUUAUUCAUUAUAAUUAAAUAUCUUCUAAAUUUAUCAUAUAUUAUAAAAUAAAUUUUUUUUCCAAUGAAAUCAAUUGACCCCACCCCUUGACUGUGGCUUCGCCCCUGUUUUCAGUCAUGUUUCAUAGAUUGCGAAAAAUAUAUUUUCCUUUUUUUUAGUGACCACUGAUUUGCGACAAUACUUGAAAACAAAAUUGUGAUGAGAUCCUUUUUUUUUGUUAUAUUUUUUGUCUGAAAUCCCUUUGAAGUGUCCCUUUUAAAUGUUUUCUGGUACGAUCGGAAUGGUUAUGCAUGCAUGGUUGAUAUUUUUAUAUGAUUUUUUGAUAUUUUUAUAUGAAAAGUGUAGCUAUAGAGAUGUAUAGCGACGGCAAAAACCGCUGUUAAAGAAUUUAUAGCGACGAUUUUCAUGUGAAAAUAUUAAUUUUCUAUUUAGAAUUUCACCUUUACAAUAGAUAAAGGGAACUGAUAUUUUCAUAUAAAAAAUUGAUAUUUUCACAUAAUUCCUCUCACAUGAAUAGUGAGUGAGUCCCACAUCCAUAUUGUGAGAGAGACUCGUUUAAAAAUAUCAUUUUAACAUGUAAAAAUAUCAAUUUCCUAGAUAAACUAUGCCGUCAAACUACAUAAAAUUAAAUUCUUAUCAAAAAUAAAAACAAAAGAAAAUACUUGGAUUUUUUUUUGCAGAUCAAAGUAGUUUUUUACUAUAAUUAUUCAUACACAACAAGGCCAGAGUGCCAUAAACUUUUGCUACAUGGACAUUAUUCAAGAUACUAAAGGUUAGCCUCAUAGUAAUAAUUAGCCAACCCUAGCACUCAUAACUAUUUUACAUAGAUAAUACUCCCAAAAGCAUUAAUUAAACAAGACAGUAGUCCAUUUUGUAGCCGUACCAUUUGUGCUAUAUUAUAGAAUUGGUCCUCGGAUCCGCAAUUUUCAUUUUAGAAGGUAGUGUUACGAAUUUGAGGCGGUAGUCAUCAGUAGCGUCAUCGGUAGGGCAAUCUACGAACCUUGUUGCUUGUUGGUUCAUGCAUACAUUAAUAUCCGUAAGCACAUAUUCUGAGUUUUCGUUUUUGGUGAAAUCGAUUUCUGGCACAGCAUUCAAGUGCUUUUUGAUUGCUUCUUUUAUCAUUUUAGGACGAUAAAGGUCGUUAUUCGGGUGAAUCCCUACACAUUUUUGAAUAGUAAUCUCAUCAAACUCACAUUAUCAUUUUACUUAGGAAGCAAUGAACCAAAUUAAAGACUAUUUAAUUAUAUAUGAAUGGGUAUGUUUACCUUCCUGGUUUAGUAGCCCAAUUAUAUCAAAUGCUUUUCUAAAAGCAAGCGCCGUUCUAAAAUAAUCAGUCUGCUUCAACAAUGCUUCUGAACACCUUCCAUGUUUCUUCCACUCGUAUUCCCAGAAUUGUACGUCCUCGGUGUUAGUUUCAUGACUCGGCCAUGCAAGAUGCAUUUCUGCUCGAAAGUCCGAUACCUUUAAUUUUCAAAAUGAAGGAGGAGAGAUAUUAGUUUAACAUAUGUGAGUAUGUAUGGAUAUAUUGCAUGUACACUUUCAAUUUUUUAUCAAACAAACUUAUGACUUAUCCAACUCUUCAAGAUAUAUAUAAAUGUUACCACAAAAAAAAAACAUAUUUAAUAGACAAUAGAGCAAGAAUUUUAAGUAGUAAAUUAAAUGCAGACCGAGAGAACUCACAGAGUUAACAUCAAAGGCAGUUCCGUCACAAUAUAACCCUGGGGUCCCCUUCUCGUUAUAGGGAUAAAGGCCGUGAAUGGUAAAUGUGUUGAGGAGAGACUUUGUAUCACAGGCAUUGUUGACCUCGCAAAAUCCAGCUGGCCAUUGAAGCCUUAGGGCAAACAUUGCCAAUGGAUAAUCUGAUCGAGCAUUCCCACCCCAAGAGAAAAUGCUCAAGCUCACUAUAAUGAUGCUGAUAAUAUAUAUUGCCCUCAUGAUCUCUUCAAACUUCAACAACUUUUUUCUUAAGAAAUGAAGUGUGUGUUUUCUGUGAUCUCUAGACUUCCAUGCAUACCCUUUUAUAGUCACCAGUUCUUUUUUAAUUAUAAUAAGAAAAAACUUAUAAAAUAUUUUUAUUUAUAUUUUUGAGUGUUAAUUUAUCCGUAA